AGUUUUUGAGCUUGUUAUUAAGCAUUUACUUUGAAAGUAAAAGAAAGGAAUAUUUUCCUAAAAGCUA
rnacentral:tRNA from 1 species